rnacentral:rRNA from 1 species
UCAUGAAAGCCGUUUGUACCCGAAGUCAUUGUGUUAAUCCCGCGCAAGCGGGAAGAUAGAUGCCGAAGGUAUGGAUGGUGAUUGGGAUG